ACGAACGCUGGCGGCGUGCUUAACACAUGCAAGUCGAACGGAAAGGCCCUGCUUUUGUGGGGUGCUCGCGUGGCGAACGGGUGAGUAACACGUGAGUAACCUGCCCUUGACUUUGGGAUAACUUCAGGAAACUGGGGCUAAUACCGGAUAGGAGCUCCUGCUGCAUGGUGGGGGUUGGAAAGUUUCGGCGGUUGGGGAUGGACUCGCGGCUUAUCAGCUUGUUGGCGGGGUAGUGGCUUACCAAGGCUUUGACGGGUAGCCGGCCUGAGAGGGUGACCGGCCACAUUGGGACUGAGAUACGGCCCAGACUCCUACGGGAGGCAGCAGUGGGGAAUAUUGCACAAUGGGCGGAAGCCUGAUGCAGCAACGCCGCGUGCGGGAUGACGGCCUUCGGGUUGUAAACCGCUUUCGCCUGUGACGAAGCGUGAGUGACGGUAAUGGGUAAAGAAGCACCGGCUAACUACGUG
rnacentral:rRNA from 1 species